GUGGGGAAUAUUGGACAAUGGGCGAAAGCCUGAUCCAGCCAUGCCGCGUGAGUGAUGACGGCCUUAGGGUUGUAAAGCUCUUUCAGUAGGGAAGAUAAUGACGGUACCUACAGAAGAAGCCCCGGCUAACUUCGUGCCAGCAGCCGCGUUAAUACGAAGGGGGCUAGCGUUGUUCGGAUUUACUGGGCGUAAAGCGCACGUAGGCGGAUUGGUCAGUUAGAGGUGAAAUCCUGGAGCUCAACUCCAGAACUGCCUUUAAUACUGCCAGUCUAGAGUCCAGAAGAGGUGAGUGGAACUCCUAGUGUAGAGGUGGAAUUCGUAGAUAUUAGGAAGAACACCAGUGGCGAAGGCGGCUCACUGGUCUGGUACUGACGCUGAGGUGCGAAAGCGUGGGGAGCAAACAGGAUUAGAUACCCCGGUAGUCC
rnacentral:rRNA from 1 species